rnacentral:rRNA from 1 species
UACGUAGGCAGCGAGCGUUGUUCGGAGUUACUGGGCGUAAAGCGUGCGUAGGCGGUGGUCCAAGUCUGGUGUGAAAUCUCCCGGCUUAACUGGGAGGGUGCGCCGGAAACUGGGCCGCUGGAGUACGGGAGAGGCAAGCGGAAUUCCAGGUGUAGCGGUGAAAUGCGUAGAUAUCUGGAGGAACACCCGUGGUGCAGACGGCUUGCUGGACCGUGACUGACGCUGAGGCACGAAAGCGUGGGUAGCGAACAGG